rnacentral:rRNA from 1 species
UUGACAAGGCCCGGGAACGUAUUCACCGUAGCAUUCUGAUCUACGAUUACUAGCGAUUCCGACUUCACGGAGUCGAGUUGCAGACUCCGAUCCGGACUACGACGCACUUUAUGAGGUCCGCUUGCUCUCGCGAGGUCGCUUCUCUUUGUAUGCGCCAUUGUAGCACGUGUGUAGCCCUGGCCGUAAGGGCCAUGAUGACUUGACGUCAUCCCCACCUUCCUCCGGUUUAUCACCGGCAGUCUCCUUUGAGUUCCCGGCANUACCCGCUGGCAACAAAGGAUAAGGGUUGCGCUCGUUGCGGGACUUAACCCAACAUUUCACAACACGAGCUGACGACAGCCAUGCAGCACCUGUCUCAGAGUUCCCGAAGGCACCAAAGCAUCUCUGCUAAGUUCUNUGGAGGAGUCAAA